UUCAUCAAGUGUGUAGCAUCUGUAAUAGCUUACACAGACACCUGAAUACUUGUAUGUAUCCUUGCAAGCAUUUGAGUUAAAGUAACCUAACAGCAUCCAUUACUGCUCUGUUCUCGCUAACCAGCUGUACCAUCUGAUGAAGGCCUGGUAGGGGACUAGAGAGCUGAAGGAGAGCCAGCUUCUCCAGAAUUGGUCUCUUUACUGCAGGACUUCUCAGAACCUUUAAUAUGCUAAUGUGCAUUGUGAAUCUCCAAGAUGGGGAUAUGAUAUGCAGCAUUCUUGAAUACUUCUAAUGACAGGGAGCCCACUACCUCAUAAGCUGCAGCAACAAGAGGAGCUUGUAAUUUUAAACGGAGGCUGAAGACACUGUAGAAUUAGCAGACAUAAGACAGCGUGGAGAAGGCAGAGGAUGGAGUUGCAGACUCUACAGGAGGCUCUUAAAGUGGAAAUUCAGGUUCACCAGAAACUGGUUGCCCAAAUGAAGCAGGAUCCACAGAAUGCUGACUUAAAGAAACAGCUUCAUGAACUCCAAGCCAAAAUCACAGCUUUGAGUGAGAAACAGAAAAGAGUAGUUGAACAGCUGCGCAAGAACCUGAUAGUCAAGCAAGAGCAGCCGGACAAGUUCCAGAUACAGCCAUUGUCACAGUCUGAAAACAAACUACAAACAGCACAGCAGCAGCCACUACAGCCACUGCAGCAGCAGCAGCAACAGCAGCAACAACAGCAGCAGCAGCAACAGCAACAGCAGCAGCAGCAGCAGCAGCAGCAGCAGCAGCAGCACGCCCAGCAGUCAGCACCACCGCCUAGUCUGACUGCAUCACAGAAGACUGUAACUACAGCUUCUAUGAUUACCACAAAGACACUACCUCUCGUCUUGAAAGCAGCAACUGCGACCAUGCCUGCCUCUGUUGUGGGCCAGAGACCUACCAUUGCUAUGGUGACCGCCAUCAACAGCCAGAAGGCUGUGCUCAGCACUGAUGUGCAGAACACACCAGUCAACCUCCAGACGUCUAGUAAGGUCACUGGGCCUGGGGCAGAGGCUGUCCAAAUUGUGGCAAAAAACACAGUCACUCUGCAGGUUCAAGCAACACCUCCUCAGCCCAUCAAAGUACCACAGUUUAUCCCUCCUCCUAGACUCACUCCACGUCCAAACUUCCUUCCACAGGUUCGACCCAAGCCUGUGGCCCAGAAUAACAUUCCUAUCGCUCCAGCACCUCCUCCAAUGCUUGCAGCUCCUCAGCUUAUCCAGAGGCCUGUCAUGCUGACCAAGUUUACACCCACAACCCUCCCCACAUCCCAGAAUUCCAUCCACCCUGUCCGUGUUGUCAAUGGACAGACUGCAACCAUAGCCAAAACGUUCCCCAUGGCCCAGCUCACCAGCAUUGUCAUAGCUACUCCAGGGACCAGACUCGCUGGACCUCAGACUGUACAGCUUAGCAAACCAAGCCUGGAGAAACAGACAGUUAAAUCCCACCCAGAAACAGAGGAGAAACAAGCAGAGAGCCGUACCGUUACCCCACCUGCUGCACCAAAACCAAAACGAGAAGAGAACCCUCAGAAACUUGCCUUCAUGGUGUCUCUAGGGUUGGUAACACAUGACCAUCUAGAAGAAAUCCAAAGCAAGAGGCAGGAACGAAAGAGAAGAACAACAGCAAAUCCGGUGUACAGUGGGGCCGUCUUCGAGCCAGAGCGUAAGAAGAGUGCAGUCACUUACCUUAACAGCACAAUGCAUCCUGGGACGCGGAAGAGAGGUCGUCCUCCAAAAUACAAUGCAGUGCUGGGGUUUGGAGCCCUUACCCCAACAUCCCCCCCAUCCAGUCAUCCCGACUCCCCUGAAAAUGAAAAGACAGAGACCACAUUCACUUUCCCUGCAUCUGUUCAGCCUGUGUCUUUGCCCAGCCCCACCUCCACAGACGGUGAUAUCCAUGAGGAUUUUUGCAGUGUUUGCAGAAAGAGUGGCCAGUUGCUGAUGUGUGACACGUGUUCCCGUGUGUAUCAUCUGGAUUGCUUAGAGCCGCCCCUGAAAACAAUUCCCAAGGGCAUGUGGAUCUGUCCCAGAUGUCAGGACCAGAUGCUGAAAAAGGAAGAAGCAAUUCCUUGGCCUGGAACCUUAGCCAUUGUUCAUUCCUACAUCGCCUACAAAGCAGCAAAAGAAGAGGAGAAACAGAAGCUACUUAAGUGGAGUUCAGAUUUAAAACAGGAGCGGGAACAACUGGAGCAGAAGGUCAAAGAGCUCAGCAGUUCUAUAAGUAAAUGUAUGGAGAUGAAGAGCAGCAUCCUGGCGCGGCAGAAGGAGAUGCGCAGCUCCCUGGACAAGGUGAAGCGGCUCAUCCGCCUCGUGCAUGGUGUUGACCUCUGCAGACCUGUGGACUCUGAGGCCACGGCGGGGGCCCUCUCCAAUGGCCCAGACUGCACUCCCCCUGCCAACGCCGCCUCCACACCUGCCCCUUCCCCCUCCUCGCAGAGCUGCACAGCGAACUGUAACCAGGGGGAAGAGACUAAAUAACAGAGCCCUCGAGGCGGACAUGCCACGGUCCUGGUGGCGAGGAGACGCUAGAAGAGCAAAGCCGGAUUUCUUCUGGAAAGUACAGAGUUCUUUUGGUUCUUUGGUUCCAGAGAGAGAGAAGAUGCUUGUGCCAGGUGGCACCCGAGUUUGCCAAUUGAUUCUUGUUAUUCUGUGUGUACAUGCAAAGACUGGACCAUGUUACAUGAAAUAGUGCCAGCUGGAGGUUCUUUGCCAGCACCAUGCCAAGUGACAUAAUAUAUUACUCUCUCUAUUAUACACCAGUGUGUGCCUGCAGCAGCCUCCACAGCCACGGUGGGUUCGUUUUUGUUUUGUUGGGUGGGGAGCAGGGACGGGCGGAGGGAGGAGAGCAGGUUUCAGAUCCUUACUGGGAGCCGUUUGUUUAGGUAGAAAAGAUAAGUCCAAAGAGUGUGCGGGCUUUCCUGUUCCUAAACUUUUCACUACCAUAAAACCAAAAAACGAAAAAAAAGAUAAAAAGAUCAAAAAGGAAAUAGAGAUUUAACUAACCCAGUGCCCAGAAGAGGGACGGGAAGGGCUGGGAGGGGGCAAGGGUGGGAAAGUAUAUGACAUAAGCAGUAUUUAAUGUUCCUUGAGGGGCCUAGUGCAAGAGGAGAGCCCCGCCCCUCCACAGCUCACCCCGCCCACAGCCUCCUGCAGCCCCUCCCCUCUGCUUGGUGUUGUACACAGCCUCAGGUGGUUCCAGGCCUUGCUGAGCAGGGAAGGGAGGGUACGAGGAGUCCAGAGGGAGAAAGGCGGAUCAGAGGUUUUACUUGAAAACAAGCUCCAUCCCUUUUCUAUAUUUAUAAGAAGAGAAGGUUCUAAGCAGAGCAGCACGACCCAGGUGUGUGUGAAUGGAGUCGACCCUUUUCUCUUCUUAAAGUUUAUUUUUGUUUCUG